UCAAAACCAGGGAUGAAGCCAGGAGACUCUUCAAUGAGCUUCAUUCAUCCCCAAUGGGAGGACACACAGGCCAAAAACUAUGUCAUCUGUAACAGGUUUUACUGGUUUUGGAGUGUGACCGAUGCCAGAAGGUUGGAAAACCAUUGACUGCGGUGGUGGAAUUACAGCCUAUAAAAGUAUCUGGUGUGUGGGAUUUGAUCGGAAUCAACCUUACUGGACCACUUCCAAAAACUGUAGAUGGCUUUCAAUACAUAUUGACAGCUACAGCUUAUUUUUCAAAGUGGGUUGAAGCAUUUCCAAUGAACCAAAUCUGCUGCAGAAGUCGCAAGAUGCCUUUGCAGUGUUAUAUUCAGGCAUGGCUGCCCAAAGCACAUUCUCUCCCCGACCAGGGAAGAGAGUUUGUUAAUGAAACUUUAUGAUUUGCUCUGCAUUGAGCGAAGUGUGACAGCAGCAUAUCAUCCAAAAAACAAACGGUCUGGAUGAAAGAACUAAUGAUAACAUCAAACGGUAUUGUUAUAACAGCUGUAAGUCAACACAUUCAUUAUUGUUUCAAAUGUACUGUUUUCCAUGAUUAUGGUUUCAUUUUAGAGCCC